ACAAUUAACUUCUGACUCCUUAACUUAAGCGCAUUUCAAAUGAGACGCUAUAUUAGUGCAAUGGUAGCUAGCAAGGUGUAAAUUUGGCUGUGCGAUCAUGGCGCGCGUUCUCAAAGGUCAGGGAAUUUCUCCAUUUUUCGUCAGGGAAAACCUGGAAAAGUCAGGGAAAAUCAUUUCCAAAUUUUUGUGGCAACCCUGUUAAGUAUUUUAGCGGCGUUUUUAGUUUUUCCUCCUAAUUUUUAAUGAACAUUUUGCAGGGUAGCAGAAGUGCCGGAAUGCAAAAUGCCCAUCAAGAGUUUGGCUGAUGUCUUUGGACCAACCCUAGUUGGGCCGAAAAUCAUGUCUGCUGAUGCCAGUACAGCUUUCAAAGAGAAUCAUCAAGCAUCACAGGUUGUCGAGUUGCUUUUGAAAGUCCCAUCUGACUUUUGGGCCGCGAUAAUUUCGCCCUCUGCCACUGUUGGCCCUUACAGCCAACCCACAACUCCAUAUAGUGGAAUGCGGAACACGCCAUCUACAGAAAAUUUAAUGCGUCAGACAGUCAAUAGACUCUUCUCUGGUACCCCGCUCGGGCAAAGGUAAUUUAAUUUUUACCAGUCGUGUUGUUUUUACCAUUGCCAAGUUUAACCAAUAAAACAUGGUUUUUGAUUAAAAAUCGAGCUACAAGCCAAGAUAAAGAAUUAAUAUUUCUUUGUUUAUCUUGACUUGUAGCUCGAUUUUUUAAUCAAAAACCAUGUUCUAUAAAGCUUGCCAGCCAAAUUAUGCAAAAACAUGUAUUUAACAAAUAAACCUAAUUUCAACUCAAUAGCUAGGUAGAAUAUUUUUUGAGAAGUAAACGUAACGCCUAUUUUCAAGAUAGAUUGUUCCUCUCACGGAAGAAGUGUUCCAUGUUUGAGGUCCGUGAGUUAAUUUUGCAAAAGAGAGCAGGGAAAUUGCAGAAAAGUCAAUAACUUCAACCAUUUCUCACUUUACGAUAUUUUUGCCUACUUUAGGAUUUUUCUCAUUUUCUCCCCUUAAGAGCCCUCCAAUUUUCAGGACUCCUUUUGGGGGCUUAUGAUUCUGUUUCACAUCUUCAGGUUUGUUUCAUGUCUAAAGAUUUGCCUCAUAUCAUUGCAGUCCUGAUUGUAAGAUCAGGCAUCUUUUCGUCCCUAGAGCAUUAUAUACUAUAAUGUGUGCCUUGCAAACCUCAUUGAUAUUUUUUAUAGUUUUCAAGAACAAGGUUGAUGAACAAUAGUUUUGGGACAGUUUUUCUGUUAACUUAAACAUAUCAUCCGCAAAAUCCACUCUGAUUUCUUAAGUUUAUGCUCUCUAAUUUAAUUAUUCACUAUUUGUAUGCAAUAUUUCAUUCAGAGUUAAUGCUUUAUUAUUUCCUUUGUUACAGGACGCGCCGACGGAAAAGAUUCUUCGACACACCUCCAAGCCUCAAGAAACACUAAUUAGUAUCAUUCUAUUUCCCUGCUGUAAGUGCAGGAUAAUUAUAUUCUUAUUAUAUCUGUUAACUAUCUUAUUUAGUUGAAUGUGUACUUAUGUCACCCAGCCACUAACAUUAUCGUAAUUUUAAGUCUUUUCUCCUCACUAAGUGCUAGGUACCCUUUUUUGCCCUUUCUCACAAGUCAAUUUCUUCGAAUUUUCCAGUUUAUAACCAUGCCUGUGCGGAAAAAUAGUCCUUUUUAAUUUUUGGAUCAUUCGGUCAUAUUUUUGUACGUAUUUUACUAUCAGGUUUUCACCCUUGUCUGUUGAUAUUAUGUCAUAUACCUUUGUGUAGGUAGAUGUACUUAUUUAAUAACACUAAAAUUAGAGUUGGGCCGAAAUGGAAUUUUCGCGUCACCGGAACCGGAUCCGGAUAUCGGUUUUUUGUAUCCGGCCGGAUCCGGAUACCGGAUAAUUCAAAAAAGUAUCCGGCCGGAUCCGGAUAGUACCGGAUCCGGAUAGUGCUUUUUCGCGCGAAAAAUGUCGCGAUUUUUGAGGUUAAGUUUACUCGACUCACGAUCGGUCGUAGCUAACAAAAUUCGGGCCUUGAAUUUCUUUCCUUAUUUCUAGUGUCACAAUUGCAAUAGUACAAAAAUCAUGGUUGACAAAUAAUAUGUGUCAUAAAUAUAGCAAGGCAGUUUCUAGCUUUUCGCAGCUGUGCUCAUACAGGGUGAUCCAGACCACCCGUCCACUAUCUUUUUCUCGAAAACGGUGGAGAAUUGAGCUUCGGGACAAAAACUUUCCCAGGGUAAAUCGACCCCAAAGAAUCGAAUGAAAUAUUUUCAGCCCCCCAAAAUGGUCCCUUGGGGGAGUUUUGGGGAGGAGCCCCCCGUUUCUCGCAAUUUUCAAAUAGGAAGUGUAUGUUUUGACUUUGGAUUCGGAAUCUACGCCAAAAAGUAAUAAUAUUUUGUUCUUUGCAUUUUUCCCCUAAACCCCCAUUUUUUUGAGUUUUGGGGCAUUUUUGGGGCAAUUUUCAAUUCGAUGCUGUAAGCGGCCAAAUUAUCCAAAUUUCAAAAUCUAAAAAUCUCCUGAGAGGAGAGGUCAAUACCUUUUUAUUGAUGAGCCAUAUGACCCCUGUUGCUCCAAAAUUUUGGGGGUCACGACCCCCCAAAAAUUUUGAGGCUUUGGAGGGCCGUAAGUCGAAAAUUUCAAAUGGCAAGGGUAUGUUUUGACUUCAGAUUUGGAUUCUACGCGAAAAGUUACGUAGAAUUGAUAGGGCGUAUGGCCUGUUUGCUCAAAUUUUUUUUUACCCCUUAUUUUCUCCAAAAAUACACGGCUUCUUAUGGGGAAAUGGGGUUCUCCAGUAAUUUGAGCAAACAGGCCAUGCGCCCUAUCAAUUCUGCGUAACUUUUUGCGUAGAAUCCAAAUCUGAAGUCAAAACAUACCCUUGCCAUUUGAAAUUUUCGACUUACGGCCCUCCAAAGCCUCAAAAUUUUUGGGGGGUCGUGACCCCCAAAAUUUUGGAGCAACAGGGGUCAUAUGGCUCAUUAAUAAAAAGGUAUUGACCUCUCCUCUCAGGAUAUUUUUAGAUUUUGAAAUUUGGAUAAUUUGGCCGCUUACAGCAUCGAAUUGAAAAUUGCCCCAAAAAUGCCCCAAAACUCAAAAAAAUGGGGGUUUAGGGGAAAAAUGCAAAGAACAAAAUAUUAUUACUUUUUGGCGUAGAUUCCGAAUCCAAAGUCAAAACAUACACUUCCUAUUUGAAAUUGCGAGAAACGGGGGGGCUGAAAAUAUUUUCAUUCGAUUCUUUGGGGUCGAUUUACCCUGUGAAAGUUUUUGUCCCGAAGCUCAAUGCUCCACCGUUUUCGAGAAAAAGAUAGUGGACGGGUGGUCUGGAUCACCCUGUAUGUUCAGCAGGAGGGUGUUAUCAGAAGUCAAAAACACAACAAAAUGGAACAAAAGUGGAAAACAGCGCUGCCAAUCUGACACUUUAAUUUUUUCAUUUUAAUUCAGAGAGAUUGCUUAAUUUGCCACUUUAAAAUAGUAAAAAUAAUAAAAGGGAAACUGUAAUAUGUAAUAAAAAUAAACAAUGCACUAAAACUUUAGAAAUGGUGGCAUGAAUUGCAAAACAGACUGAAUAUAAUUAAAAUUGUUCAAGACUUAGCAGCAUGUAAUUCAUGUUGAAAGAAAAAAAAAUAAACAGAGCUGUAUUGAAGGAGAAGAAAAAAAAGUCAAAAAUUUCAGGAAAAAAUACAGAAAAUUGUAUUGAUAGGGAAGAAAAAAGAAAGAAUAUCACCAAAAAUUUAUCGAAAUUUUCAGGGCCAAAAAAGCACUAUUCGGCGGGUCCAAAAACCGGAUAGCGCGAUUAUCCGGCCGGAUCCGGAUACUCGCGAAAAUCGUAUCCGGCCGGAGCCGGAUAUCCGGUAUCCGGCCGGAUAAUCCGGCAAUCCGGAUAAUCGCCGGAUACCCGGCCCAACUCUAACUAAAAUAUUUUCUUAAAUUGUUACUUUUACCAAUUUUAUAUGAAAAAAAAAGACUGUAUAUAAAUUGAUCUACAUAAUAAUGAUAUUUUAAGUUAAGCUUGCGGAUCUGACUUUGAAAAUAAAUAUCUCAGGUCUAGAAAUGUCUUC
rnacentral:lncRNA from 1 species